AGAGCGCUCCUCCCUCUCUCCCCAAGGGGCCGCAGCGCUUCUGGGAGCAGCACGGGGCCAAGGACAGGGCAGGCAUGUAGGGAGCCUGCCCUGGCACCGGUGCGCGCCGCUGCAACCCCGGAGCCGCUUGAGCUUCAUGGAUGUCCCAGAGCAGAUGUGAGAGAUAGGCAGAUGACAUCCACAGGAGUGGAAUGGCUGACAAAAUUGAGCUCCAUCCAUGAAGAGCAGGGAGGAUUUAUUCCUGGAUAUGCACAGAGAAAUGAAUAAGGAUUUGGACUGAAGAUGUGAGUUCUGGCUCCAGUAGAGGCUGGCAUCUGAAGACAACCAUUUUGAGAGAAGAAUGUCUGGAUCUCACACACAAUAAACUGAUUCUAAUGAAGCUGUCAUGGUUAAUGUUGCCAAGCCAUGAACACAAAAAAAGCUUGCAGAAGAAAAGCAGAUCUGCCCCACUACCAAGGAAGAUGCUGCUCUAAUGGCCAAACAAAAAUUUGGAGGGGAAUGCAAAUACAAGUGUAUAGGAAAUACAGUUUGUAACAGCAGCUGAUUUGCUUGAAAUCAACAUAUUUCUGCAAUGAAAUAUUCCCAAAAGAAAAAUUAUACAAAUUUAUAUAAGGAUAGGGUGACCAGACAGCAAGUGUGAAAAAUCGGGACGGGGGUUGGGGAUAAUAGGAGCCAAUAUAAGAAAAAGCCCCAAAUAUUGGGACUGUCCCUACAAAAUCGGGACAUCAGGUCACCCUGUAUAAGGAAAACAGACUGUAGAUUGGCCAUUACCUACCGGCUAGUAUGCAUGGAAUGCAGAGUUAAGCAUUUUGAAUGGCUAACAAUUUUCACAAAACAGGAUCCUUUGGGUACCUGGUGCAACUCCUUAUUUGUCUGGACAGUACCAAGUACACUUUCACAGCUCAAUAAACAAACAAUAAUUGAAAACACAUCCAUUAAUCUAUUAUCUGAAUUUCAUUUAUUUUCAGUUAACACAAGCAGAUCCCAGAUGAUCAUAAAUGACAGUGCAAUGGGGUGCAUAAACCCAUGUCAGGGAUUAGUACAUACAGAAGUGGCAGGAAAUGGACUAUCUGGGUUCAGUUGCAGCUGCUGCAAUAGAAGACUUAACUUUCAUGGUCAAAGGGAGGCUGAGAAGGAAAUUCUUUCUAAGAGUCCUGCUGGAUGGUCUGAGAUCUCUGUGAGCCAAAGGAGCUUGCAAGUCACUGAGUCAGAGAGAUCAAUACAUUCAAAAGACAAACUCCACCCCUGGUUAGCAGGUUGUGUUUUUCACUGGCACUGGCUAAGCAAGCUUUAUUUUAUAAGGCUAUAAUAAAGCACAAGGUACUUUUAUACUGGGACUUUUGAGGAUACAAUGAAUUAUGGUGUGCUGGAAGCUUGGGAAGGAUGAAUUAACUUUGGACAAAGAGACUCCCCUUCCUUUUACCCCAUAAGGAAGCUAUGAUUCUGAAUAUGGACUGAACACAUUUUACAUGGUACACCUCUACCCCAAUAUAAUGCGACCCGAUAUAACACAAAUUCGAAUAUAACACGGUAAAGCAGUGCUCAGGGGGGGCAGGGCUGCGCACUCCG